rnacentral:rRNA from 1 species
UACGUAGGUUGCAAGCGUUGUCCGGAUUUACUGGGCGUAAGGAGCGCGCAGGCGGUCGUUCAAGUCGCGUGUGAAAGCCCCCGGCUCAACUGGGGAGGGUCACGCGAUACUGAUCGACUCGAAGGCAGGAGAGGGUAGUGGAAUUCCCGGUGUAGUGGUGAAAUGCGUAGAUAUCGGGAGGAACACCAGUGGCGAAGGCGACUACCUGGCCUGUUCUUGACGCUGAGGCGCGAAAGCUAGGGGAGCAAACGGG